rnacentral:rRNA from 1 species
GAUGAACGCUGGCGGCGUGCCUAAUACAUGCAAGUCGAGCGAACGGACGAGAAGCUUGCUUUUCUGAUGUUAGCGGCGGACGGGCGAGUAACACGUGGAUCACCUACCUAUAAGACUGGGAUAAUUUCGUGAAACCGGAGCUACUACUGGAUAAUAUUUUGAACCGCAUGGUUCAAAAGUGAUAGACGGUCUUGCUGUCACUUAUAGCUGGAUCCGCGCUGCAUUAGCUAGUUGGUAAGGUAACGGCUUACCAAGGCAACGAUGCAUAGCCGACCUGAGAGGGUGAUCAGCCACACUGGAACUGAGACACGGUCCAGACUCCUACGGGAGGCAGCAGUAGGGAAUCUUCCGCAAUGGGCGAAAGCCUGACGGAGCAACGCCGCGUGAGUGAUGAAGGUCUUCGGAUCGUAAAACUCUGUUAUUAGGGAAGAACAUAUGUGUAAGUAACUGUGCACAUCUUGACGGUACCUAAACAGAAAGCAACGGCUAACUACGUG